CCAGUAAAUGGCAGCACGGGGACAUACUACCCUACGGUUGGAAAGCCGGAUCCGAACCGUGCAAUCUUGAGGACGACUGCUCUGGUACACUUGAAUACUCUACUCCGAUUUAACGCUUGGCAAAUUGGAUCAGAUCCCUGCAGACCCAAAAAGAGAGGACGCCCACGACACCGCUCAACAACAACCACCAGUUGAACCAUCAUCAGCUACAUUGGUUGGUGAACUGUUGCUGACCUAAAAGAGCGGAAAGGCCACACUUGACAACUAGCGUCCCAUCAUCCGAGCUCCGUUUGAUAGCUCGAACUCUGGAUGCAUCGCCAUGCAGCUGGGGUGCUGUUGCACGGAGCUCCUGCACCCAACCCUUUCAGUAAAACAUUUGCGAACAAUCAAACACCAGCGUUUGGGCAACACGUUGGCUAAGCAGCAUCAGUCAAUGCCUGCGAUCAGUCAAGGACCCACAUGCCUGGACAUUCCCACAUGACCUAAUUGGCAUACCUCACUGAAGACCAUGUUGGCUGUUGUUAGAGGAGUCACUCCAACCGAUUUGCUCAUGCUGGCAGACUCUAUACUGCUAUAACCUGCUAUACCUAUGAUAAAUGCUGUCACUGUUUUCUAAA